rnacentral:rRNA from 1 species
CCUACGGGAGGCUGCAGUGGGGAAUAUUGGGCAAUGGGCGCAAGCCUGACCCAGCAACGCCGCGUGAAGGAAGAAGGCUUUCGGGUUGUAAACUUCUUUUAAGAGGGAAGAGUAGUAGACGGUAUCUCUUGAAUAAGCCACGGCUAAAUACGUGCCAGCAGCCGCGGUAAUACGUAGGUGGCAAGCUUUGUCCGGAUUUACUGGGUGUAAAGGGUGUGUAGCCGGGAAGACAAGUCAGAUGUGAAAUCCCGCGGCUCAACCGCGGAACUGCAUGUGAAACUGGUUUUCUUGAGUACCGGAGAGGUCAGCGGAAUUCCUGGUGUAGCGGUGAAAUGCGUAGAUAUAAGGAAGAACACCAGUGGCGAAGGCAGAUGACUGGACGGCAACUGACGGUGAGGCGCGAAAGCGUGGGGAGCAAACAGGAUUAGAUACCCCUGUAGUC